GCGGACAGAUGGGAGCUUGCUCCCUGAUGUUAGCGGCGGACGGGUGAGUAACACGUGGGUAACCUGCCUGUAAGACUGGGAUAACUCCGGGAAACCGGGGCUAAUACCGGAUGCUUGUUUGAACCGCAUGGUUCAAACAUAAAAGGUGGCUUCGGCUACCACUUACAGAUGGACCCGCGGCGCAUUAGCUAGUUGGUGAGGUAAUGGCUCACCAAGGCAACGAUGCGUAGCCGACCUGAGAGGGUGAUCGGCCACACUGGGACUGAGACACGGCCCAGACUCCUACGGGAGGCAGCAGUAGGGAAUCUUCCGCAAUGGACGAAAGUCUGACGGAGCAACGCCGCGUGAGUGAUGAAGGUUUUCGGAUCGUAAAGCUCUGUUGUUAGGGAAGAACAAGUACCGUUCGAAUAGGGCGGUACCUUGACGGUACCUAACCAGAAAGCCACGGCUAACUACGUGCCAGCAGCCGCGGUAAUACGUAGGUGGCAAGCGUUGUCCGGAAUUAUUGGGCGUAAAGGGCUCGCAGGCGGUUUCUUAAGUCUGAUGUGAAAGCCCCCGGCUCAACCGGGGAGGGUCAUUGGAAACUGGGGAACUUGAGUGCAGAAGAGGAGAGUGGAAUUCCACGUGUAGCGGUGAAAUGCGUAGAGAUGUGGAGGAACACCAGUGGCGAAGGCGACUCUCUGGUCUGUAACUGACGCUGAGGAGCGAAAGCGUGGGGGAGCGAACCAGGAUUAGAUACCCUGGGUAGUCCACGCCGUUAAACGAUGA
rnacentral:rRNA from 1 species